rnacentral:rRNA from 1 species
CCUACGGGGGGCAGCAGUGGGGGAUAUUGCACAAUGGGGGAAACCCUGAUGCAGCGACGCCGCGUGUGGGAAGACGGUCCUCUGGAUUGUAAACCACUGUCCCCAGGGACGAAGAUGACGGUACCUUGGGAGGAAGCUCCGGCUAACUACGUGCCAGCAGCCGCGGUAAUACGUAGGGAGCGAGCGUUGUCCGGAAUUACUGGGUGUAAAGGGAGCGUAGGCGGGACUGCAAGUUGGGGGGCAAAUCUACCGGCUAAACCGGUAGACGCACUCAAAACUGCAGUUCUUGAGUGAAGUAGAGGUAGGCGGAAGGCGUAGUGUAGCGGUGAAAUGCGUAGAGAUGAGGAGGAACACCAGUGGCGAAGGCGGCCUGCUGGGCUUUUACUGACGCUGAGGCUCGAAAGUGUGGGGAGCAAACAGGAUUAGAUACCCCAGUAGUC